CCUACGGGAGGCAGCAGUAGGGAAUAUUGGACAAUGGGCGAAAGCCUGAUCCAGCAAUGCCGCGUGUGUGAAGAAGGCCUUCGGGUUGUAAAGCACUUUCAGUCAGGAGGAAAGGGUGUGAGUUAAUACCUCACAUCUGUGACGUUACUGACAGAAGAAGCACCGGCUAACUCCGUGCCAGCAGCCGCGGU
rnacentral:rRNA from 1 species